CAUACAAUAAGCGGAGGAAAAGAACCACAGGGAUUGCCCUAGUACGGCGAGUGAAGCGGCAACAGCUCAAAUUUGAAAUCUGGCUUCGGCCCGAGUUGUAAUUUGUAGAGGAUGCUUUUGGUGCGGUGCCUUCUGAGUUCCCUGGAACGGGACGCCAUAGAGGGUGAGAGCCCCGUAUAGUUGGACACCAAGCCUUUGUAAAGCUCCUUCGACGAGUCGAGUAGUUUGGGAAUGCUGCUCAAAAUGGGAGGUAAAUUUCUUCUAAAGCUAAAUACCGGCCAGAGACCGAUAGCGCACAAGUAGAGUGAUCGAAAGAUGAAAAGCACUUUGAAAAGAGGGUUAAAUAGCACGUGAAAUUGUUGAAAGGGAAGCGCUUAUGACCAGACUUGUUCCAGGUUGAUCAUCCAGUGUUCUCACUGGUGCACUCUGCCUGGAUCAGGCCAGCGUCGGUUUUCGUAGGGGGAUAAAGACUUCGGGAAUGUGGCUCCUCCGGGAGUGUUAUAGCCCGUUGUAUAAUACCCUUAUGGGGACCGAGGUACGCGCUCUGCAAGGACGCUGGCGUAAUGGUCAUCAGCGACCCGUCUUGAAACACGGACC
rnacentral:sRNA from 1 species